UUAGUGAAGCAAUGAAUUCUGCAUCCUGCAAAUCUCGGAUCAUGUAAGUCCCUUGCUCUGUAGAGCCUAGUUCAGAUGGCGCGCCCCUUCCUUUGUCGUCCACGACACUCUGAGCCUUUUCUCCCAGCACUUUCCACCAGCUCUGCACCCCCAUGCUGCCCAGGACCACACUGUAUCUGAUUUCAUACAGGCAGCCCCUCGCCCAGUGUCUAGUGCCUGCUAGUCUCCCCAGACACAUUGGCUGCCCAGUCCUUACAGAUAACUGUGUGCAGAUAACAAGUCAGUGAGUUAACUAGAGGAGAGUCAGUGAUCAACUAGGUAGUGGUGACAGUGGGAAGUCAGGAAAAUCUUUACAGAAGAGGUGACAGCAGACAGGAUUCUAAAACUGAAUAGGCUGUGCCUCGUGGAGGGGUAAGUUAAAGAAAACAUGAGGGGAGAGACUCUCAGACAGGGAGAGAGUUUGUAUAUGGAGGGAGGAAGGAAGGAAGGAAAGAAGAAAAGAAAAUAUGGUAGGGAGGAUGGAUGGAUGGGAGGAUGGAAGGAAGGCUACUAAGUAAAGAAGCAAAGAAGUGUGAGGAGGUUUAAGGCAAUAGGGAAUGGUGGGGACUGUGGUAACUUGCGGGAGAACUUGCCUCAUUAAAGCAGGGAGCCAUCACCGGGCUCUUAUAGAUUCUUCUCAUGCAGGAAGUUGGAAUCUAAUAUUUUAUCUUUUUUUAGGAGGAGCUAGAAAUUGGAUAUGAAAUCUCCCAAUUUUUAGAUAUUGGAAAAGCAGCCCUGAUGGCUUGGACCCGGCUCUAAACUUGGAAUUGUCUCACAUGGACCUGAAUCGCCCUCACCCACGACGAGAUUAAUCUCGCCGCAUUGAAACCUCUGGAAACCUGGCAUGGAAUUUCCUUUUCAGAUGGGAAGUCCACCUAAGAAACAGCUACAGCCCGUCAACAAAUGUGGGGAGGCGGGGUGGGUAAGUUUGUUUGCAAUCCAAGACACACAAAUAAAAACGGCCAUGAGAUAA